UACGGAGGGGGCUAGCGUUGUUCGGAAUUACUGGGCGUAAAGCGCACGUAGGCGGACCGGAAAGUCAGAGGUGAAAUCCCAGGGCUCAACCUUGGAACUGCCUUUGAAACUAUCGGUCUGGAGUUCGAGAGAGGUGAGUGGAAAUUCCGAGUGUAGGAGGUGAAAUUCGUAGAUAUUCGGAGGAACACCAGUGGCGAAGGCGGCUCACUGGCUCGAUACUGACGCUGAGGUGCGAAAAGCGUGGGGGAGCAAAACAGGAUUAGAUACCCCCUGUAGUC
rnacentral:rRNA from 1 species